GAUGAAGAACGUAGCGAAAUGCGAUACGUAAUGUGAAUUGCAGAAUUCAGUGAAUCAUCGAAUCUUUGAACGCAUAUUGCGCUCUCUGGUAUUCCGGAGAGCAUGCUUGUUUCAGUAUCAGUAAACACCUCAACUUCCAUAUCUUUUUUGAAAUGGGAGUUGGACUUGAGUGAUCCCAACGCUUUUCCUCACCGAAAAGUGGCGGGUUACUUGAAAUGCAGGUGCAGCUGGACUUUUCUCUGAGCUAUAAGCAUAUCUAUUUAGUCUGCCUAAAAAACAGAUUAUUACCUUUGCUGCAGCUAACAUAAAGGAGAUUAGUUCUUGUGCUGACUGAUGCAGGAUUCACAAAGACAGGCUUCGGCCGACUUUGUAAACUCGAUCUCAAAUCAAGUAAGACUACCCGCUGAACUUAAGCAUAUCAAUAAGCGGAGGA
rnacentral:misc_RNA from 1 species